AAUAAACGCUGGCGGCGUGCCUAACACAUGCAAGUCGAGCGAGAAAGUUCCUUCGGGAGCAAGUAAAGCGGCGGACGGGUGAGUAACGCGUGAGAAUUUACCCUUUAGUGAGGAAUACCUCUGAGAAAUCAGGGCUAAUACUGCAUAAGUCCCUACGGGGAGAAAGGUGGCCUAUUUGCUGCCGCUAAAGGAUAAGCUUGCGGGCUAUUAGCUAGUUGGUGAGGUAAAGGCUCACCAAGGCGAUGAUGGCUAGCCGGCCUGAGAGGGUGUACGGCCACACUGGAACUUAGACACGGUCCAGACUCCUACGGGAGGCAGCAGUGAGGAAUAUUGCGCAAUGGGCGAAAGCCUGACGCAGCGACGCCGCGUGGAGGAUGAAGGUCUUCGGAUUGUAAACUUCUGUUAAGUGGGAAGGAAGAUUUAUCCCUAAUAUGGAUAAAGGAUGACGGUACCAUUAGAGAAAGCAACCGGCUAACUUCGUGCCAGCAGCCGCGGUAAU
rnacentral:rRNA from 1 species